UGUUGUGCCUGCCCGCACCGCCACAGGCAGCGGUGCUAAAAUGUGGGGGUUACCCCGGAACGCACCGAAGAGUUGCGUGUGGUAGAAAUCACUCAGCUGGGACCGCUUGAUUGGAAAUUAAAGAAAUAUACGAGUUCUCAGUAACAUGUUCUAUUAGACGAAAAACAGUAGGAAAGAAUAUCAAGGGGAAAAAGGAAAUAAAGUGAAAGGACAGUGGCUCGAAAAAUGGAAAUUGCUGUUCAGAACUCCUCUGCCUCCAAUGUAGACAAUUUUCAGAAUGCAGCAUUCCAUAUGAGAGAGACUCAUAUGAGUGCACAUGCAUACCCUGAAGCAGAAUUGCAACAUUUACAUUUGUUUCCUGUCUUAAGCUCUCGCUGGGGACUAAAAAUCAAUGAGAGUCUGCAUUGCACCCCAGAAGUGUCUGCUUUUCACUGACAGUGACUGCAGAAGACCACUGCAGGACUGAUGGGAUGAAAGGGUGCCUGCUGACCCGUGGAAGGCCAGCUUGAAUACCUGAACUUCGCUUCCCAGCUUUGCACAAGUAAGAAGGGAAAUGUAGGUAGGUGUAGAAAACCCCCAGGCAGACAUGAAGUGAGGAAAGUGUUAACUACAAGCAGUUCUUUCUUCAGUGAAUGCAGGUUGGUUUCCACCAGCAGGCUGGAGUCAGUACAUGUGAAAACUUACUAUAAUUCUUGGAGUCUGCAGGCAUCAGCUACACCAAGCUCCAGUCUAACCCUAAUGACUUGGAGAAGUCAUUGCAUACUUUGCAAGGAGCUGGAUCGUGUUUCAAAAGAGACUUUUUUUACAGAAAUUCAGGUUUCAGCAGUGGGACAGCAUGGGUAGAGUAUAACAGUGUUCUUGAACCAAUGGCUCAUUCAAACUGAAUUUCCCUUUUCCACUUUUCCAGAGGCUGCCUUUGACUCUUAAGAGUGAUGGCACAUGAAUUGUAGACUAAAAGGAGACUGUGCCAACCAAGUUUGUAUAGAAAAAUCACUGUUAACAAGAAAUUAGUAAGCUGAUGUAUUAAAGCCUGUUAACUUUUUAAAUGCA